CAACCUCUGGCUGAGUACGAUAUGAACACGGGACGAGAACAAACCAACUUCAAUCCCCAGAAAUUCGUCCCGAUUUCGUUAGAAUCCGUGACCCCUACGCCACGAAAACUCUCCUAUAUGUACUUCCGCAUCGGCCCCUCUCCGUUUUUCUAAAAAUCGCAAACUCUAGAUGACGAAAAGUUCAAUUUCCGAACCCGCCGGAGCACCACCAUCGAGCUCAGGAAGGAAGAGAACCACAAGAACACGCACGCGAGGUCGCCGGAGUUUCGCCGGACUUCGCCAUCUCCAGCUGGGAAUAGCAGCCGCUCAGGACCACUCCGACGGACGCCAUUGACGCAAGCGAAACCACGAAGGAGAGGGGAACCCCGUAAAGAUCUUCGCCAAGCCAGGGGAUCACAAGCACGACGCCGACGUCCUCGCCCGACCACCACGCCGUCCCGUCCGUCCUGAUCGUCUUCACCACACCUGAUUUAUUCGGAGUACGAGAAAAAUUCACAAGGAAGAAAUCAUCAUCAAAUAUUACUAAGG